rnacentral:tRNA from 1 species
GUUGUAGUUCAGCUGGUUAGAGCGUCAGAUUGUGGUUCUGAAUGUCGUGGGUUCGAAUCCCAUCAA